UAGGGAAUCUUCGGCAAUGGACGGAAGUCUGACCGAGCAACGCCGCGUGAGUGAAGAAGGUUUUCGGAUCGUAAAGCUCUGUUGUAAGAGAAGAAUGAGUGUGAGAGUGGAAAGUUCACACUGUGACGGUACCUUACCAGAAAGGGACGGCUAACUACGUGCCAGCAGCCGCGGUAAUACGUAGGUCCCAAGCGUUGUCCGGAUUUAUUGGGCGUAAAGCGAGCGCAGGCGGUUAGAUAAGUCUGAAGUUAAAGGCUGUGGCUUAACCAUAGUACGCUUUGGAAACUGUUUAACUUGAGUGCAAGAGGGGAGAGUGGAAUUCCAUGUGUAGCGGUGAAAUGCGUAGAUAUAUGGAGGAACACCGGUGGCGAAAGCGGCUCUCUGGCUUGUAACUGACGCUGAGGCUCGAAAGCGUGGGGAGCAAACAGGAUUAGAUACCCUGGUAGUCCACGCCGUAAACGAUGAGUGCUAGGUGUUAGACCCUUUCCGGGGUUUAGUGCCGUAGCUAACGCAUUAAGCACUCCGCCUGGGGAGUACGACCGCAAGGUUG
rnacentral:rRNA from 1 species